rnacentral:rRNA from 1 species
UACGAAGGGUGCAAACGUUGCUCGGAAUCAUUGGGCGUAAAGCGCACGUAGGCGGCCUCGCAAGUCGGAUGUGAAAUACCUAGGCUCAACCAAGGACGUGCAUCCGAAACUGCAAGGCUUGAGUACAGAAGAGGAUCGCGGAAUUCCCGGUGUAGAGGUGAAAUUCGUAGAUAUCGGGAGGAACACCGGUGGCGAAGGCGGAUCUCUGGGCCUUACCUGACGCUCAGGCACGAAAGCUAGGGGAGCGAACAGG